GGACUCAAACCACAGUCGACUACAUGGAAGUCCAGUGACAUAGCCAUUACGCCAGCUGCUGGUCCUGCGGCACGAAGAUGUUAAGGAACUUGCUCCGAGUACUGCAGUUUUUAAGGAUCAGUGGCUUGUUAUUCAAACAGAAACUAAUACCAACAACUUGGCCACAAUGUCCAUUGACCUACAUCAUGAUUCUGGGGACUAGAACAUGGACAUCUUUGGGAGCUAUCAAUUUGCCUCUCAUAACAGGAUCUUGCUGUGUUGUGAUUCUCCUGCCUCAGCUUCCUGAGUAGUUGGGACUACAGGUAUACAUCACCAUGCUGGUUUUUAAGAUGAACUAGGAAUUAAACCAAGCCUCUCAUGUGAUUUUAGCCUGCCAAGUAGAGUGUCAGCCAGCACACAGUACCCUGAUUAGGCCCAAAUUUCAAGAAAAAAAAUAUUAUAAUGAAAAUUGUGGGUUUCUUUCCCUGUGGGAAGGAUAGCUCAAGGAAUAUGUAUCAGUUAAAAUUCAAGUAAAAAUAUUGUCUCUCUGAGUAAUAAAAUCGCCUUAAUGAGCUGCUUAUAUUUUUCUGAAUUGAAUUUUAUAUUAUCGCAGACUUUUGGUAAGCCGUUUUCACUAUUCACUCCAUGCCCAAAGUUUCUGAACUGUCAGUACUGCUUGCUUUUAGAGUCAAACGUGUCUAAGUUUCUCCAGAGGCUGUGGGCUUUGACUUUGCUUAUUUGAAGACUUUAAAAGUAAACAAAACCCCAGGAAGUCAUGUGGUCAUUUCUUGCCUUGAAUACCUCAAAUCACCACUUUUCAUUGCUAUUUAGAGGGAGGUAGAGGUUUCCAUUUUAGGCAUUUAGAGAAUUUUAAUUUCUAUGAUCUUAGUUUCUCCUGUUUUUCAGAUUAUUCUUCAGGGCAAGUAAGUAGCAGUGGAACAUAAUUUAUCCUAGUCAUAGGUUGAAAUCACAAGUAAGGUGAUAAAAUCUGA